CAAGAAUUGUUCAGUCACAAACCAAGAGCACUUACAUCACUGCAGGCUGCACUUCUCUGAUGCAUCAAAGCAUCACCAAAAAAAGCCCAUGGUGUAAUGCUUGGAGAUCCUGUUCUGCUGUCAGCCACUGAAGCAUUCAAAGAAAGCAGUGCACAACCUGCAGAAAAUACAGAUUUCCAGGGAUUUUGGUCAGCAAAGACAACAGAAGUGUGGUGGAGGUGAAUAAAGAGAUAUCAAAAGAGGUAUCAAACCAGGAACAACGUGGGAGAUGACAUCAUCAGAAGUUUGUGCUGGAAGAGCAAGGAGAGAAGUGUGAAGCCAGAGGGCACAUGAAGCUGACAUCGAAAGUCGCCUCAGUUCACGUUUGCUAAAGAUCCUUCCUCUUCCACAAAGAGCAAUACAGUACUUCCCAGUCAAGAGUGGGAAUGUCAGCAGCUUCUGACUCAUCAGGAGACAAACUCAACACUCAAAUUUCCACCAGCUUCCAAAGAAGAUCCAACCUUCUGUCUGCCUGCCAGGUGGUCUGCUAAGAUCUGGGAGAAAACAUAUUGGAUGAAUCUGAGCACCCUUCAUUCAGGACUGGACUCAUCUCAAUUUCAGUACAGCAACCAACAGGAGUAAAGACUGAACAGAACACCAGUGAUUUAACUGGAAGUCUAGAAGACCUGAUUGACUGUAAUCCUGAGAAGUAUCACAGGAGAUAUUUCAAUGCCAAGUUGCUUUGAACAUCAGUGGCACCAAUAUUUUUUUAGAAGGUAUACAAGAAGCAGAAUCAUAUUAACCUCUAGAUGUUCCCCCUUCCUGAGAAAAAUGCACUUAUUGGCCUACCUUUAUCCUUAUUUGGAGUCUUCACAAAUAAGGAAGAACAAACUUCACCAAAAUACUCAGACACUCAUAAAUCAGAAAAGUCUUAAAAUAUUUUAGAAAACAUUUCUUAGAACCAGGUGUUUAGAUCUUCAAAAGGGCUUUCCUAGAAAACUGAAGCUUUCUUUGGACAUUCAAGACAGCAUUGCUGAAAGCGUGAUAGCACCAUAAUUACCCUUAUUUUUAACUUCUUGGAAUUCCUGGGUCUAAUCAGCUGUCACUUCACUUCAGCUAAAUGCAAAAAGUACAUGCAGUGCACAGUACUACAGUGACACACCAGUCUUGUGAUGAAGAUGUUUUCUAGCAUUAAUAACUACCUUCUUCCUGAACUUCAAUUAUUAAAUUCAUAUUAAGUUGCAGAAAACA